rnacentral:misc_RNA from 1 species
CGAAUGGGUCCAAAGACUCUUAAAACCUACCGUGCUCCCCUAUGUGGACAACAGGAAAGCCCUCCGGGGCAUCGGAAAUCUGAGAAGUUGAGAACUGCGCCCCGGCGCAUGACUAGACAAAAAAUUA